rnacentral:rRNA from 1 species
AGUGAACGCUGGCGGUAGGCCUAACACAUGCAAGUCGAACGGCAGCACAGUAAGAGCUUGCUCUUACGGGUGGCGAGUGGCGGACGGGUGAGGAAUACAUCGGAAUCUACUUUUUCGUGGGGGAUAACGUAGGGAAACUUACGCUAAUACCGCAUACGACCUACGGGUGAAAGCAGGGGAUCUUCGGACCUUGCGCGAUUGAAUGAGCCGAUGUCGGAUUAGCUAGUUGGCGGGGUAAAGGCCCACCAAGGCGACGAUCCGUAGCUGGUCUGAGAGGAUGAUCAGCCACACUGGAACUGAGACACGGUCCAGACUCCCACGGGAGGCAGCAGUGGGGAAUAUUGGACAAUGGGCGAAAGCCUGAUCCAGCCAUACCGCGUGGGUGAAGAAGGCCUUCGGGUUGUAAAGCCCUUUUGUUGGGAAAGAAAAGCAGCAGGUUAAUACCCCGCUGUUCUGACGGUACCCAAAGAAUAAGCACCGGCUAACUUCGUG